GUCUAUAGCUCAGGGGUAGAGCGCACGCCUGAUAAGCGUGAGGUCGGUGGUUCAAUUCCACCUAGGCC
rnacentral:tRNA from 1 species